rnacentral:rRNA from 1 species
ACGGCUGCUCAGUGACACGUAGUCAACUUACCCUAUGGACGAGGAUAAUCUCGGGAAACUGAGCAUAAUACUCGAUAGAUCAUAAUGCCUGGAAUGGUUUAUGGUUGAAAUGAUUCAUCGCCAUAGGAUGGGACUGCGGCCUAUCAGCUUGUUGGUGAGGUAAUGGCCCACCAGGGCGAUUACAGGUACGGGCUCUGAGAGGAGAAGCCCGGAGAUGGGUACUGAGACAAGGACCCAGGCCCUAUGGGGCGCAGCAGGCGAGAAAACUUUGCAAUGUGCGAAAGCACGACAAGGUUAAUCCGAGUGAUUUCUGCUAAAGAAAUCUUUUGCAAGUCAUAAAACCACUAGUGAAUAAGGGGUGGGCAAGUUCUGGUGUCAGCCGCCGCGGUAAAACCAGCACCUCAAGUGGUCAGGAGGAUUAUUGGGCCUAAAGCAUCCGUAGCCGGCUCUGUAAGUUUUCGGUUAAAUCCAUGUGCUCAACGCAUGGGCUGCCGAAAAUACUGCAUAGCUAGGGAGUGGGAGAGGUAGACGGUACUCGGUAGGAAGGGGUAAAAUCCUUUGAUCUAUCGAUGACCACCUGUGGCGAAGGCGGUCUACCAGAACACGUUCGACGGUGAGGGAUGAAAAGCUGGGGGAGCAAACCGGAUUAGAUACCCGGGUAGUCCCAGCUGUAAACGAUGCAGACUCGAUGAUGCAUUGGCAUAUAGCCAGUGCAGUGUCGCAUGGAAGCCGUUAUGUCUGCCGCCUGGGAAGUACGUUCGCAAGUAUGAAACUUAAAGGAAUUGUCUGGGGAGCAGAAU